AGCUGGUCUCUCACAGGCAGGCAGAGGCUCAUCUACCUCCGUGUUGUGCUCUUGUAUUCUCCUGGGGUUUUAUUCAUAGGUUCUUGGGGUUGCCAAAUAUGGCUGCAGUUGUUACCAGACACAAGCAUUUCGGUCAAGAAUACCUCAGUACUGAGUCUAAAUAUGUUGUUCGGGAAUACACCAGCUCUGCGGCAGAAGAGGUGAAGUAUCAAUACCAAACACAGAAGAGAAUCCAGGGAGUGGUGGAGAAGAAGAUGCCUGAGAAAUACAUCCGUGAG